CGCCUCAUACAACAGACACCAGUUUGAUUUCUCCUUUUAACUGCAGUGAGGUCACACUCCUGUGUUUGUGACAUAGCAGCGGGUUGCCAUGGAGAUGAUAGCUUUAUCAGCAACUCCUCUUUGCAGUGACUUCACAGCAAGGUUACCAAGAAGCAGAUGGGCUGUGAAGGAGACAAACCCCCUUGUCUAAACACAAAUAGCAUUGGUAAUUAAUUAGCUGAAGCAGCAGGGGAAAUUAUGAAAAUGUGUGAAAGAUGAAAAAGACUUAAUAUUUGGUCUGAAGAGGUUAUGUGACUUUUGUAGAUGCCACGCUUUAUCAAAGUAUGGUUGAUAUACCAAAAUGAUUGGACAUAUUUAGUGUAUGCAAUUUGAUGAGUUUGGAGAUAUGCAUGCACCCAUAAAACCAUCACACAAUCAAGGUAAUAAAAUAUCCAUCAACUCCAAA
rnacentral:lncRNA from 1 species